AAAUCUGCUUGCCUCUGCCUCCCAAGUGCUGGGAUUAAAGGUGUGCACCACCACCACCCAGCUACACAGUAUUUUUAAAAUGUUUUAUUUUACAUGUGUGGGUGUUUUGCUUGCAUGCAUGUAAACCAUAUGCAUGCAGUGUCCAAGCAGGCCAGAAGAAUCAGCUCCCCUAGCAUUGGAGUUACAGACAGUUGUGAGCUCCUGUGUAGAUGCUGGAAAUCAAACCUGAGUCCUUUGGAAGAGCAGCCAAUGCUCUUAACCGCUGAGCCAGCUCUCCAAUUCUUUAUCCCAUCACGGUCCAAUCUGAUGGCCCUGUUGAGACCACUCUGCCUGUCUGCCUGUUUCUCUGUCUCUCUCUCACACACACACCU
rnacentral:lncRNA from 1 species